rnacentral:rRNA from 1 species
AGUGAACGCUGGCGGUAGGCCUAACACAUGCAAGUCGAACGGCAGCACAGUAAGAGCUUGCUCUUACGGGUGGCGAGUGGCGGACGGGUGGGGAAUACAUCGGAAUCUACUUUUUCGUGGGGGAUAACGUAGGGAAACUUACGCUAAUACCGCAUACGACCUACGGGUGAAAGCAGGGGAUCUUCGGACCUUGCGCGAUUGCAUGAGCCGAUGUCGGAUUAGCUAGUUGGCGGGGUAAAGGCCCACCAAGGCGACGAUCCGUAGCUGGUCUGAGAGGAUGAUCAGCCACACUGGAACUGAGACACGGUCCAGACUCCUACGGGAGGCAGCAGUGGGGAAUAUUGGACAAUGGGCGCAAGCCUGAUCCAGCCAUACCGCGUGGGUGAAGAAGGCCUUCGGGUUGUAAAGCCCUUUUGUUGGGAAAGAAAAGCAGCAGGUUAAUACCCCGCUGUUCUGACGGUACCCAAAGAAUAAGCACCGGCUAACUUCGUG